GUUAAGCGACUAAGCGUACACGGUGGAUGCCCUGGCAGUCAGAGGCGAUGAAGGACGUGCUAAUCUGCGAUAAGCGUCGGUAAGGUGAUAUGAACCGUUAUAACCGGCGAUUUCCGAAUGGGGAAACCCAGUGUGAUUCGUCACACUAUCAUUAACUGAAUCCAUAGGUUAAUGAGGCGAACCGGGGGAACUGAAACAUCUAAGUACCCCGAGGAAAAGAAAUCAACCGAGAUUCCCCCAGUAGCGGCGAGCGAACGGGGAGCAGCCCAGAGCCUGAAUCAGUGUGUGUGUUAGUGGAAGCGUCUGGAAAGGCGCGCGAUACAGGGUGACAGCCCCGUACACAAAAAUGCACAUGCUGUGAGCUCGAUGAGUAGGGCGGGACACGUGGUAUCCUGUCUGAAUAUGGGGGGACCAUCCUCCAAGGCUAAAUACUCCUGACUGACCGAUAGUGAACCAGUACCGUGAGGGAAAGGCGAAAAGAACCCCGGCGAGGGGAGUGAAAAAGAACCUGAAACCGUGUACGUACAAGCAGUGGGAGCCUCUUAAUGGGGUGACUGCGUACCUUUUGUAUAAUGGGUCAGCGACUUAUAUUCUGUAGCAAGGUUAACCGAAUAGGGGAGCCGAAGGGAAACCGAGUCUUAACUGGGCGUUAAGUUGCAGGGUAUAGACCCGAAACCCGGUGAUCUAGCCAUGGGCAGGUUGAAGGUUGGGUAACACUAACUGGAGGACCGAACCGACUAAUGUUGAAAAAUUAGCGGAUGACUUGUGGCUGGGGGUGAAAGGCCAAUCAAACCGGGAGAUAGCUGGUUCUCCCCGAAAGCUAUUUAGGUAGCGCCUCGUGAAUUCAUCUCCGGGGGUAGAGCACUGUUUCGGCAAGGGGGUCAUCCCGACUUACCAACCCGAUGCAAACUGCGAAUACCGGAGAAUGUUAUCACGGGAGACACACGGCGGGUGCUAACGUCCGUCGUGAAGAGGGAAACAACCCAGACCGCCAGCUAAGGUCCCAAAGUCAUGGUUAAGUGGGAAACGAUGUGGGAAGGCCCAGACAGCCAGGAUGUUGGCUUAGAAGCAGCCAUCAUUUAAAGAAAGCGUAAUAGCUCACUGGUCGAGUCGGCCUGCGCGGAAGAUGUAACGGGGCUAAACCAUGCACCGAAGCUGCGGCAGCGACACUAUG
rnacentral:rRNA from 1 species